UGUAUUAGUAUAGUUCCAUUUUUUUAUUUUUUUUAUUAAAGUUUAAUUCUGUCUUUUAUAAAUUAGCUAUAUUAAUUUAGUUUUAUGGAAAUUUUUUUGUUUGUUUUAAUUCUAAAAGAUUAUUUAAAUUUUCAGAACUUAGUAUUAAUUUUUAGUUAGGGCUAGAAUUAGAAAUUAAUAUAAUAUUGGAUAAAAUUGUGCCAGCAUCCGCGGUUAUACAAUUAAAUAUAAGUUAAUUUUUUUAUUUGUUUAUUUAAUUAAUUUUUUUAGUGAUUAAAUUUUUUAUUUUAAGGUGAAAUUUUAAUUAAUUAUUAUUCAUUUUUUAAAUUAAAUAAGAAAAGCUUAAUUAGACUAGGAUUAGAUACCCUAUUAUUAUGUUUGUAAAUUUUAUAUGAUUAUUAGUUAUGAUCUUUAAAGUAAAAGAAUUUGGCGGUAAAUUAAUUAUUUAGAGGAACCUGCCCCGUAAUUGAUAAUCCACGAUAAUAUAAACUUUAAUUUUACUUAUAUAUCGCUGUCUUAAGAGUGUUUUUUUAGAAUUAUUCUCUUUUAUAAUUAUUUUAUUUAUGUCAGGUCAAGAUGUAGUUAUAUUAAAGAGGAGGUGGGUUACAUUUAUUUUAUUAAUGGAUAAUUAUAUAAAUAUAAUUUUGAAAUUGGAUUUAAAAGUAAAUUUUAUUAAUUUAUAUUUUUGAAUGUUUUUUAAUUUAUGUACAUAUCGCCCGUCGCUCUUACCCCAAGGUAAGAUAAGUCGUAACAAAGUAAUUUUACCGGAAGGUGAAGUUAAUAAGA
rnacentral:ncRNA from 1 species